rnacentral:lncRNA from 1 species
CUUGCUUGCAAUGCAGAGGGAGCGAAAUGAAAGAUAACAAAGAAUAGUAUGGAGCAGUCUAGUCAGUAAGUUGGACGUCUCAGCGUAAGGAGGAGGAGAGGGCCACACUUUAAGUGACAGGUGUUUUCAAGAAGUUUAUUCUGUAAUGCUUCAACCUGAAUGACAUCAGCACAACACCCAGGACUGAACGUUGAGCAGGACCAAGUGUGGCUGUAAGGACUGGAAGCAGAUGUCUUGUCCCAUCAGGUACAUUUCAGCUUCUCUUCAACUACAGAGAAACACCGAGGCCACAGACAAAUCUGUUGUGAGGGCUGCAGAAAUCCACUGCAGCUGCUCGUGGCCAUCAUUCCAAGAGUUUUUUUGGCACUUUCCUGGAUGCAACGUUGGCCUUUGGAAGCCCUUUGGGAUCAUUUUCAUGCUGCGCUCUGCUAACUGAUUGCAGUCUUGAGCCAACUCUGUAAACCUUACACUAAAAUAAAAUGCAAAUACACAACA